GGCUCAGGAUGAACGCUGGCGGCGUGCUUAACACAUGCAAGUCGAACGGUGAAGCCAAGCUUGCUUGGUGGAUCAGUGGCGAACGGGUGAGUAACACGUGAGCAACCUGCCCUGGACUCUGGGAUAAGCGCUGGAAACGGCGUCUAAUACUGGAUAUGAGCUCCUAUCGCAUGGUGGGGGUUGGAAAGAUUUUUCGGUCUGGGAUGGGCUCGCGGCCUAUCAGCUUGUUGGUGAGGUAAUGGCUCACCAAGGCGUCGACGGGUAGCCGGCCUGAGAGGGUGACCGGCCACACUGGGACUGAGACACGGCCCAGACUCCUACGGGAGGCAGCAGUGGGGAAUAUUGCACAAUGGGCGGAAGCCUGAUGCAGCAACGCCGCGUGAGGGAUGACGGCCUUCGGGUUGUAAACCUCUUUUAGCAGGAAGAAGCGAGAGUGACGGUACCUGCAGAAAAAGCGCCGGCUAACUACGUGCCAGCAGCCGCGGUAAUACGUAGGGCGCAAGCGUUAUCCGGAAUUAUUGGGCGUAAAGAGCUCGUAGGCGGUUUGUCGCGUCUGCUGUGAAAUCCCGAGGCUCAACCUCGGGCCUGCAGUGGGUACGGGCAGACUAGAGUGCGGUAGGGGAGAUUGGAAUUCCUGGUGUAGCGGUGGAAUGCGCAGAUAUCA
rnacentral:rRNA from 1 species